rnacentral:rRNA from 1 species
UACGUAGGGUGCAAGCGUUGUCCGGAGUUAUUGGGCGUAAAGAGCUCGUAGGCGGUUUGUUGCGUCGGCUGUGAAAUCCCGAGGCUCAACCUCGGGUCUGCAGUCGAUACGAGCAAACUAGAGUGUUGCAGGGGAGACUGGAAUUCCUGGUGUAGCGGUGAAAUGCGCAGAUAUCAGGAGGAACACCGGUGGCGAAGGCGGGUCUCUGGGCAACAACUGACGCUGAGGAGCGAAAGCGUGGGGAGCAAACAGG